AUACAGAGGGUGCAAACGUUGUUCGGAAUUACUGGGCAUAAAGCGUGCGUAGGCGGCAUCAUAAGUGUGAAGUGAAAUCCCACGGCUCACCCGUGGAACUGCUUUGCAUACUGCGAUGCUCGAGGACGGUAGGGGAGAGCGGAACUCCUGGUGGAGCGGUGAAAUGCGUAGAUAUCAGGGGGAACACCGAUGGCGAAGGCAGCUCUCUGGUCCGUUUCUGACGCUGAGGUACGAAAGCUAGGGUAGCGAACGGGAUUAGAAACCCCUGUAGUCC
rnacentral:rRNA from 1 species